rnacentral:rRNA from 1 species
AACGAACGCUGGCGGCAUGCCUAACACAUGCAAGUCGAACGAGACCUUCGGGUCUAGUGGCGCACGGGUGCGUAACGCGUGGGAACCUGCCCUUAGGUUCGGAAUAACUCCCCGAAAGGGGUGCUAAUACCGGAUAAUGUCUUCGGACCAAAGAUUUAUCGCCUUUGGAUGGGCCCGCGUUGGAUUAGCUAGUUGGUAGGGUAAAAGCCUACCAAGGCGACGAUCCAUAGCUGGUCUGAGAGGAUGAUCAGCCACACUGGGACUGAGACACGGCCCAGACUCCUACGGGAGGCAGCAGUGGGGAAUAUUUGACAAUGGGCGAAAGCCUGAUCCAGCAAUGCCGCGUGAGUGAUGAAGGCCUUAGGGUUGUAAAGCUCUUUUACCCGGGAUGAUAAUGACAGUACCGGGAGAAUAAGCUCCGGCUAACUCCGUG